AUAGAUUCUAAUACAUCUCUUCCUUGGAAUACUGAUCAGCAAUAAAAAGGAAUGAACAUAACGACUUUGAUGAAUCUCAAAGGAAUCAUGCUGAGUGAAAAAAGCCAGUAACAAAACACAAACUGUAUGAUUCCAUUUAUGUCACAUUCUGAAAAUGACAACAUUAUAGAGAUGGAAACCAAAUUAGUGAUUGCCUAGGUUCGGGGAUGGUUGGUGAAAGAGAGGUGGAUGUAAUGAACUAGAAAGGGGGACAUGAGGGAAUUGUAUAGUGAUAGAAUCCUUUUGUAUCUUGAUUGUGGUGAUGGUUCCGUAAACACAAGUGUGAUGAAAUAAUGUGACCUACUGAUUUGACUAUUCUGACGCCCAGACUCAUUGAUCAGCUUAGUUGUUUCAAGUUCCUUUCAUACUUAAGAAAAUGCCAUCCCAGACUUUGUUGGCAAUGGCCUGUUGAAAAGACAACCUCCAUACUUUACAUAUAACGUAAAUUACAGAGCAUUUAUUAUGUUUAUAGCGAACACUGAAUAAGAUACAGAUUGCAACUUUCAAGGAAUAACCAAUGUCAGGAAAGAUCUGAUCCUGACUAUUCCUUGGGCAACAAGGGGAGAAGCAGUAACUCUCUUAUAGAAUCAUUAUCUAAGCCACAGAGGGAGUUGGAUGUGGAAACUCUCUCUCUCUUUAAUUAACAAGUAAAAAUUGCAUAUAGAAUUUCCCUGGAUUACAGGCUCCGAAAUGACCUAGACUCAUAUCAGACCAGGCAGGGGCAGCCGAGAUAUGUGACUUCCAGAAACUGCUUUCAGUGAUUAAUGGAAUUGUAACUGUGGAAUGUCUCAGAAACAAGGAAUUUGAAAGCCCCAGGAAAGGCAUCCAUGGUUCCAAUCGAACUCCACAAAGAUAAGUCCGAAGAAAUGCAGAAUACAGCCUGCUUUCCUCAAUGGUUUUUGGCGAUCAGUUCUUCCCUUCUCCAGACUCACCCCGAAUGCAUGUAAUGUAAGCCCAGCCUUCCAUUAACAACCAGCCAUAAAAAUGAAUUGGAAUACAUUGACUGGAGUCGGAUACAAUCUAAAAGUAAAGGAGAUGUUUUUUUCA